CGGCAUGAAGAUGAUGGCCUUGGGCUCACAUCCAUCUGUUACAUGUUGGCUCUAAAAGCUCUCUGUUCAUUUCAACUUGUGAAAAUGCUGCUGGUCAGUUCAUUAGGAUUCCUGAAAUACAACACAGACAGUGAUGAGCAUGGACUCAGAGAAAGCAUAUUUCUUUGGAGAUAAGAAAACAGAAAGCAGUUGAGAUAUCGUUAUCGCCAAUCAUACACAGUGGAAGGGCAGAAGCAAAUUUAUUUGUUGACAGCAACGUGAAAGCUUUUGAAGAAAGAAGUAAAAAGGAACAGACAAAAGACAUGAAUGAGAGGCAAGUACAUUUAGCAUCUGAGACAUUCAGGUAUCAACAUAUAAUAACACUCUCCUCUAAAACUGUAUUCAGGUGGGUUUUUUUUCCUCCUGAACUGUAUUUGGUAGUCUACACCUUAUUCCUAAAUUAAUUACGUUGAGAGACUUAGAAGGCCAAGGAUGGAAAUAAAGGACUAACUACACUGUGCAGGCAGGACUGAAGAAAAGAACGGUUGAAAAGACAGCAAAAGAGGGAACAAGAAAUUAGAGCACCAAUUGGAAAUUGGGUGUACACUUUAUUAAAAUUUGAUUUUCUUUCUGAGAAA